rnacentral:rRNA from 1 species
UACGUAGGGACCAAGCGUUGUUCGGAUUUACUGGGCGUAAAGUGCGCGUAGGCGGCAAUUCAAGUCAUCUGUGAAAUCUCCGGGCUUAACUCGGAACGGUCAGAUGAUACUGCUUUGCUAGAGUGCGGAAGGGGCAAUCGGAAUUCUUGGUGUAGCGGUGAAAUGCGUAGAUAUCAAGAGGAACACCUGAGGUGAAGACGGGUUGCUAGGCCGACACUGACGCUGACAGCGCGAAAGCCAGGGGAGCAAACGGG